CACUACGCAAAACGCCCUCUUGUGCUGCGGUGGCCAGGGGAAGAGUUUCUCAAAUAUGCACGGCCGUUAAAAGCAUGGUUAAAAGAUUUAGAGUGGAAAAUAAAAGAUACAUAGUGGAGCGGGGAGGAGUAGACUGUAGGGGGCGUAUCCUGUAGUGUUUUCUAUAGACAUAAUACAGUGUUUUCUAGUUGGCUGCACCAGUCUCUUCUGGAGCAGAGUGAGGGCUUUAAGGGGCGUGGUGUGUUUUGUUACAUAAAGGAGCGCUGACCGAGCUGCGUUGAUUUAGUGGAACAAACUGUUCACAUUCCUCGUCUUUCUUCACAAGGUUGUUAAAACAUGUCGACCUCCCUGUUAAGGAUCGGACACCUGCGAUGUGUCAAUAAGUGCUUGCAGACUCAGAGUUGGAAUAUACUGAGCAGAGCACCUACAGCUUUGACAUUUAGCACAAAAUCAUCAGGAUCCAAAAAUUCAUCAAAAAAGACCAGCAAAGACAAAAACAAGCCUAAAACAUACUUCAACAUAGAAAAACUUGUUCAACACAAGCCAUGCAACUUCCCUAAGAAAGAAGUUUCUCCAACUGCUUCUGCAGUAACUGAAGCUGCACAGGAAGCCAUAGCUUCUGUAGCAACAAAGCGCACGUCCCCUGCUGCUUCAGCUGAAACUAUUGCAACCACUUAUGACAUAACAAUUCAACCAGUGACAACAUCCUUUGUUAAAAAAGUACCCUCCAAAAUAACAACUGCUGAAUCUAUUGUUGAAGUUUUUCCUGAAGAUUUUCCAGGAGAAGAUGCCCUAAUUUUAGAGGCCUCCAAAGUGGCUGCUGAGCCUGCAGUUGAUGUGCCACAAAUCCCUAUGCAUCCUGCUCCUGCCUCUGUAGAAUCGGCUCCUGAUCCAUUUGUGCUGGUAGAUGGGGCCCUGAACCUAGUUCAUGAAGCUGUGCCAAAUAAGGGAUCCAUGGAGCCUGUGGAAGAAACACUUCCUGCAGAAGGGUCACUAAAGUCUGUGGUGGAAGGGGCUCAUGCGGAGGCAUUACUGGAGCCUUUGACAGAAGCACCCCCCGAGGAGGUGUCACUGGAGCCUGUGGUGAAAGUGGCUCCUGUGGAGGUCUCACUGGAACAUGUGGUGGAAGCAGCCCCCGAGGAGGCGUCCCUGGAGCCUGUGGUGGAAGCAGCUCCCACAGAGCCAUCUCCAAAACUUGCAAUGGAAGUGACACUGACAACUGUGUCAGGUGGGGUCCCUGAAACUCUAACUGCAGACCUUCAAGCAUCCCCGGAGCCUGUGGCAAAAGCAGUCCCUGAGCCUGUGGCAGAAGCAACUCCUUCAGAACCGGACCCUGCAGAGUCCAUGCCAGGGCCUGAAGCAGAGGUGGUGCUGGAGCCUGUGGCAGAAAUUACUGAUGCUACAGAUGUAGUUCCUGGCUCUGAGGAUCUUGUGAACCCUGCCUGGGUCCUUUCCAAGGCUGCUGAAGAAGAGCUACAGAUGGAUUCCCCUGCUGAAACAGUUGGACCAUCACAGGCUCAUAUGGACCCAGUGCAGAGGCUAUUCUUGGACUCUAUACGAGAAUAUUCAACAAAUUCCCAAGCAGCUGGUGGUCUGGUUGAUGCUGGCUCACAGUAUCAAAAAGUUUUGGAAGAGGAGAUAGCAAAGCUACAGAGACUUUAUGGUGGUGGAGACCUAACCAGUUUUCCUAAUUUCAAAUUUACAGCCGAUCUGCCCCAGAUUUUUUGUGCAUCAUCAGGAAGCACUGCCGAACACAGCAAUGCAUAUUGCCUAGCAGACGGGUGCAGGAACUGAGCAAGAGUGUCGACAGUGGUGAGCGGGUGGCGUUUCUGGACCACCCGCAGUCACAAUAAGAACCCCAGUGGAAUGAAGUUUCCCAGAAGUGAACCAUCAGCACUUCUGCUUAACCUUUACAACUUUGUGCACAGGAACAUGAAUUUGUGUGAUUGUCAAGCAAAUGAACCUCUACCUGUUGCUUAUAUGUGAAGAUAAAACAUUGGAUUUGUAGAAACUGUAGAUUUCGUGCCUGCAGAAGAUAAGGUUUUGCAUUUUUUCCAUGACGUUUGACAGAGUGAUCUUAGAGAUGCAAAUUAGGUUGUCUGAAUCUAAAUCUUUAGAUUUAGAGACAACCUAAUAAUGUGACUUCUGUUGUCUCCUUUUUCAUUCCUCUCAAGAAUUUUUCAACUGUAUGUAGCAAAGAGAUGUUCAUUUAAAAAUAGCAUGGAACUCAAAUAAGUUGUCUGAUUUUUUGCUUCUAUGUUUCCCCAUCCUUAAAGACCAAAACAUGAGGAACUUCAUAUAAUACAAAACAGAUGUUAUCUUAUGGACAUUAGUGCUGUUUGGCUGCUAAAAGCAAGCAUAAUUAUUGCAGUACUUAUAGAAUAAUUACAACAAUUUAACUAGGGCUUCACUCUUUCCAGAGAGAGAGAGACAAUUUGGUACUAUAUCUAUAUCAGUUACAUAAAUCAUGAGUGUUCAUUUUCCAACACUUUGAGAAUUCUCUAAGUAGUUCAAUUUAAAUGUCCACCAAAGAAGGAAGAGGAAGACAGCCAAUGAUCCUCUAAGCUGCCUUUACGGUCCUCUGGAGCCUCACCCUGUCUGUAACAGAACAGCUGCUAUACUGUACUGUGAUGCGGUAUGUCAGCACGCUCUAUGGAUGAGUGGUAGAAGGUCAACAGCAGCUUGAAAAAUUUUAUGUUGAGCUUGUUCUAAAUAUUGUGAUUGAUAAAUAAGACCUCAGGUAAGACCUUAAGUUCUCAGGUUGCUCCUGAGAACCAUAGAUUGAAAUUGAAUGGUUUGCAGUAAUCUGACAGGUUUAUUACAAUAAAACAAGACAAAAACAUA